CAGCAAUAUCACGUUGAAACUCCGUUUUCCGUAAGACCACCGACGUUAAGCAACGCUGAGAUUGCUCAGUACUUAGAUUAGUGACCGCUUGGGAAUAUCAGGUUCUGUCA